rnacentral:misc_RNA from 1 species
UUUGCUUCCCGCGAUCUACGUAAUCCCCUAAGAAUAAAUAGUUGGCACGAGGAGGUAAUCCACCAUAUUCAAAAAGCUUCAGAAGAUCAGAAUAUUGUCCGUGUAUAUCUCCACAGAUUUUGAUAGGAGCUUCGAGUUCUAAAAGAUUGGGCUGCUUCAAGAAAAUCUCCCUGGAGGUAACACAAAGCUGACGAAUCUCACUCUCAUAAAGCUGCACUUGCUUCCCCGGUUUGCCUCUAACUUCAAGCAACCUAUUAAUCACACCAUCAAGAACCGCAGGCUCCAUCUCACCCAGUCUCUUUUUUU